UCUCUCAUCGUAUAAUGGAUAAAUUACACACACCAAAUGUACAUCGUGGUUAUGUUGUUUCCGUGUGGGAUCUGGGUUCGAUUCCCAGUGAGAGAA